GGAGCAAAUGGCAAAACACGGCUUUCUGCUCUGACUUUCCCAGGUCCACGCCUCUCCGCCCCUUCUUGCACCUGGGACCUUCUGAGGAUGUCCCACCCCUCCCUUGGGCGGGGCCAACACCGAGGAACCCGGAUUCUCACCCCCUCCCCCAAGACCCCGUAUCUCCAGCCCCCGCCGGCUCCAGGGAAUAGGAGGAGACGCCGACGCUGGGGGGAGGGGCUGCGGCCUACCCGGGGCCUCGAGGGCGCUGCUUUACGGCAGAGAUGGGCUGGGGUCGCAGUCACACCGUUUACCCCGGCGUGAGCGCCGGAGCUCACCUGGUUUUUCCCGCAGGCCCGCGGCCUCCGUCAGAGAGACACAGCGAGAGAGGGAACACAAGCAGGGGGAGUGGCAGAGGGAGAAGCAGGCUUCCCGCUGAGCAGGGAGCCCAAUGUGGGGCUCAAUCCCAGGACCCUGGGAUCAUGACCUGAGCCGGAGGCAGGCGCUUAACGGCUAAGCCAUCCAGAGACACAGAGAGAGAAGGAACACAGCAGGGGAAGUGGGAGAGGGAGAAGCAGGCCUCCCGCUGAGCAGGGAGCCAGAUGUGGGGCUCCAUCCCAGGACCCUGGGAUCAUGACCUGAGCCGAAGGCAGACGCUUAGCGACUGAGCCACCCAGGCACCCCGAGUCCGGGGAGGCAGAGUGAAAUGAAAGAGAAAUGAAAACGAAGAAGCCAGUGCUGGUGUUUUGGAUUGCAGUUCUGCCUUUCAAUAUUACAUGGUGUCAGGAGUGACGUCCAAAGUGACCAGUCGCCAUCUCCAGCACCGCCAUGGAUUUGAGUGAGGUA